GUGCCUAAUACAUGCAAGUCGAGCGGACAGAAGGGAGCUUGCUCCCGGAUGUUAGCGGCGGACGGGUGAGUAACACGUGGGUAACCUGCCUGUAAGACUGGGAUAACUCCGGGAAACCGGAGCUAAUACCGGAUAGUUCCUUGAACCGCAUGGUUCAAGGAUGAAAGACGGUUUCGGCUGUCACUUACAGAUGGACCCGCGGCGCAUUAGCUAGUUGGUGAGGUAACGGCUCACCAAGGCGACGAUGCGUAGCCGACCUGAGAGGGUGAUCGGCCACACUGGGACUGAGACACGGCCCAGACUCCUACGGGAGGCAGCAGUAGGGAAUCUUCCGCAAUGGACGAAAGUCUGACGGAGCAACGCCGCGUGAGUGAUGAAGGUUUUCGGAUCGUAAAGCUCUGUUGUUAGGGAAGAACAAGUGCAAGAGUAACUGCUUGCACCUUGACGGUACCUAACCAGAAAGCCACGGCUAACUACGUGCCAGCAGCCGCGGUAAUACGUAGGUGGCAAGCGUUGUCCGGAAUUAUUGGGCGUAAAGGGCUCGCAGGCGGUUUCUUAAGUCUGAUGUGAAAGCCCCCGGCUCAACCGGGGAGGGUCAUUGGAAACUGGGAAACUUGAGUGCAGAAGAGGAGAGUGGAAUUCCACGUGUAGCGGUGAAAUGCGUAGAGAUGUGGAGGAACACCAGUG
rnacentral:rRNA from 1 species